UAUCCGUAGGUGAACCUGCGGAAGGAUCAUUAACAAAUUCCAAAACACGCGUGUUUGAUGAAGACAUUGUGUGUGACGACGAUCAUCAAGGAGAGAGGAGGAGGAGACAAGAAUCGAGGUGUCCCCCAUGUUGGGCCAUCUUGCGUCUCUUUGACUGUCGUUGCUUGCAUGUCUGAAUCAGUUAACAACACACAACAACACUCACACUUUAAAAUUGACAACCAAGAGUAUAAUCUAAAACGUUAUAUAAAUCGAAACAACUUUUAACAAUGGAUCUCUCGGCUCUU
rnacentral:misc_RNA from 1 species